UUGGUGGCCUUGACUGACWUAUGGCUGCUCAAUUUCAACUUCUCUACUUUCACCUUAAAAGGCAGCAGUAGGGAUGGGGUUGCUCCCUGGUGAGUGCCGGAGGCCCUGGGUUCCAGCGGUGUAACGAGCAUCAUCCCUCCGGCCAGACCCCUGAAGACUCAACCCUGUUGGCCCCUCCCUGUCUGGAGAUGUGCUAGGAGAAGCAGGAGGAGUGCUUGAACAGACAUGCUGGACCUGCGUUCUCCAGCCCCAGAACAUUCCAGCCUCGCUCCUUCGGCAGACACCAGAGUGACUUCACUUUCCUGCGCACUGGAUUCCCUGGCCCUUCACGUACAGGAGGUGGCGGCCCUGGGGGCUGGGGACGUGUCCUUGGAGAGCUGACCUGGCCAGUGCUUCUUACCCCAGGACUCGGCUGCCUUGACCGCCACUUGGGAACAGCCACCCACAGCUCCCAGCGUGGCCGGUCCUUCCCUGCGGGAAGCCGGAGCCCCCCAGGACUUCCCUGUGCCCCUGCCUUCAGGACCACAAUGCUGCCUCCUGUCCAGGAAGGAGUCCCUCUCCCUCGAGCCGGGUUGACUGUGGUCACAGGGAUGAGGGCGGGUGGGGCGCCAGCUCUGCUGCCCACUUGGAGCUCUCACAAGUGUCACUGGUUUGCUGAAGCCGAUUCACUUCUACACAGAGGGGGACAGGUGCAGUGAGCUCCCUUGACCUGCUCCAAGCAUGGAGAAAGCUCUGGACCUCACAGUGGUCAUGUAGGGGACACUGGACACUCGGGGUCCCCAAAGUGAGGCAGGAGCACCAGCUUCCUGGGCUGUUGCAACAAGCCCCCAAACUGGGGCUCCGAACAGUGGCGAUUCCUGCUCACAGGGGCAGGGGGUGCGGGCAGGGCCGGUGCUCCUGGAGGCCCUAGAGCCUGUCCCUUGUCCGUCUUGUCUCUUCCUUCCAGUGGCUGCUGACCGGCCUUGCGAUCCCGUGUGCAUCACUGUGACCCCGGCCCCCUCUCACGUGCUUCUCCCUGUGUCUGUGUCCUGCCUUCCCUCAUCCUGGGACACCAGCGGCUGGAGACUGGCCGCAAGGCUGGCCUGCAGGACCUCCUCCUAGCCUGACCACAGCCACAGAGUGAGCCAACAAGCUCACUCUCAAGGGGCUGGGUCAGGCUUCAGUGCACCUUCUAGGGAGACAUGAUUCAACCGAAACAGAGGGUACUCGGAGGCCUGGCGCUGACUGUGGCCGUCACCACGGCUCUGCUCAGAGGAACGUCCUGGAAGUCCCACGGAGCACACGCAGGGCUGGUUUGAGCACUGGGUGUCACCAUCCUGGGACAACCCGUGCUGGACUGCUCCUCCUGGGGACGUGGGAGCCCUCCCUGAAGACAUCAGGCCAGGGCCAGCUGGAGGCUGCCCCUCUGGGGACAGUGUCCUGGGGCCGCUGCAGGGACGUCCCCCUGUCGCGCUCUCGGUGACCUCUUCUUGGCCAUGUUGCUCCUGAGCCUUGGCUGCUUGUACCUCCUGGACCCCUCCCCAGAGCCCACCCCCCCUGGGUCCCCUUCCCACAUUCUGCUCUUGGCCUUCCAAUGUCCUAUGACAGGGACGUCCCUGCAAUUGUUCCCACAGUGUCACUUAUUCGGGUUCCUAAGGCGGGUUUCCCCAUCCCCACACUCAUUUUGAGUUUCUAAUGCUCUUCUAUUGCGAGCAGCAG
ensembl:lncRNA